AUUAUGCUUUCUUUUCAUAUUAUUAUACUUUAUUUUUCAUCCUAUUUUUCAUUUUUUAAUUACAAAGUUCAUUGAGUGUGUUUCACAUGAGAAUCAUGUUUUUCUGCUAACGUACAGAAUUAUGCUCUUUCUGUCUUUUCAGCAAGUACAAAUGUCCAAGGACUUAAACAUCAUGUGCAGUCCUAUAUGAUAAGAUAACGAAUGAAUCAUUUAGCUAGAAACCCAGUAAACAGUAGAGUUUACUGAGAACAAGACAUAUGUUUUAUGAUGUCAUUAGAUUUAUGUUUAACUGUUUGUUUCUUAAUCAGUGACGAAUUGAAGGUUGUUUCUCUAAAUGACGUGGUAACUGAUGAUUAUACGUGUUUCAGCAUCUUGCUAUAAAUAUGUGUUCAGCCUUGUAAUCGGGGCUCUUAGGUUUUUAAACUUCUUGCACCGCGAGGGUGAGAGCCUAUUCUGCAGAAUAUAAAUAUAUAUAUAUUAAAUUCAGACAAAGAAAAUUCUGUUAACAGUGUGUCUGUGUGAUCCUUGACUUUUGCUCUUAGUGAGUAUUAUUUGAUGCGGCUAAAAUUCCACGACAAUAAUGGCGACGAGGAUGCGGAUUCCACAGCUGUAGACUCCAGGUUUGGGAGAGACUGACUGAUCACCCCUGAGACAAGAGGUCUCGGGCUCCGUACCCCAGGCCUAAGGGAAGGGAGAGUCUCAACCAUUUCUGAAGUCAAAGCUGACGGAAUCUGGAAAAGAACCGUUGUGGUGGCAUCUGAAUAGAUAAUACGGUAAGCGUUAUUUCGUUCGUGACCAUGGGUCAGGGUAAUUCGAAAGGGAGUACAAAGUCAAUGGAUCUGGAAAAUGGCGUGUAUGCUCGAGUGAUCAAAUCAAAGGGCACGGGGGCGUUGGAAAGCGUAAAAUCUGGGAGAAAAGGUAUAAUUUUCCUCCUAAAGGGACACUGAGUGUAAAAGCACUCACUUUAUUAAGGGAAAAGAUCAUUGCGGAUGGCAGAGAAAUGAGAGCACAGAGUAAGAUAAGAACCAAGGACGAACUGACUCAGACUAAGUCAGAGCUAAACAUUAAGCAAAUGUUUUUCCUACAUCAGAUUCAUUACAUGAUGAACCUAACUUUCUGUUUUUUUUCCUCCUCCAUAUGCACCUGCACGUACCCCACCUGGGGUACAUUUCUCUUAUACAAAGGUACCUCUUCUAGACGGUGAUCUCCAACCCCCUCCAAGAAGACUCCCACAACCACCCGCACAAGAAGCAUUACCAAAAAUACCAACUGCACCCCCGCCACCGCCAGCACAAGAACUAUCACCUGGGCUAAACCCACCAAUCCUCCUCGACAGCAUCUUGGAAGAGGAAGAGGAGGAAGUCCAGAUAAAAACAUCAACACAGGAGAGGUAACAUCCUGGGAAUCCUACCUAAAAGCAAAUGUUCCUCGGGGAACUUCAACCUGUAAUUUCAACAAAGGUGAAGCAAACCUGCAUCAGAUGGGAAUCAGGAAAGCUGAGUGAGGUCAUUACACAUUCUCUACAUGCUGAACGCCUGCAUGAAGAAAAACGAAAGCAGCAGAGAAAGGCAAAUCAACAACUAUCUUCAGCUUUUGUCAAGAUAAGCGAAUGGGGCCAGCAACGACAUAAUCAGCACAGUUUCCCUUCACAAGGACAACGUUUCCAGGAGAACUGGCAACAAAGAGAAAGAGAGAAAAAGAGCGAAAGCAGUGGCAAGAAAAUCAGAGAGAGAAGAUUUGCUGGUAUUGCGGACAGAAAGAACACUUGAAAAACCAAUGUUUUCAUUUCCUAAAUUCUCCAGAGCAACCAGAAUCCCAGGCGGACGCGGGAAACUUUGCGGGGUGUAAAGAAAAAGGGGACUGAAGCCAGGAGGGGGAAAGAGAGAAUCGGACGGAAGGGGGUAAGUCCAAUCUUGUUUUUUCUGCGGUUCAAAUGCCAUAUUAUCUGCUUGCUAAUUCUGUUUUUCUGAUGUGUGUGAAAGGGAAAGAAACGCUCUAUGCAAUGAAGAACUUGCUUUGCUUGAUGCUGAACGAGAGGCAACAUCUCUAAACUGCCUCUCGAAGAAAUAAUGUUUGAGGGACAGGCAUUGUUGUUUAUGGUAGACUCUGCUGCAAUCAACUCUGACAUACGCAAAGAUGAAUUCCCAUUUGUCACCUUGAGUGGGCAGUUUAACUCAUCUAUGAGUGCUACGGGGCAUAUAGUGAGGGAAGAAUUUACUGCUCCACUCUGUUGUAUGCAUGACGGUAACAAGUUUAUGCAUAUGUUCCUUUUAUCUGACGCGUGUCCGGUAAACCUCAUGGGGAGGGAUUUGAUGUGUAAAAUUAAUGCUAGCAUCUUAUGUAACAACCAAGGCCUGAAUAUUUCUUGUUGGGAUCCCAGAAUGUCAUCUAUAUGUAUGUCUCUGUUAUAUAUGUGUAUGAAUGGGCCUUUCUGAAUGAAGAGUUGCAUGCUGAAGGGAAGAUAAGAUUGCCACAAGCCAGCGAGGUCAUUCCAGCUGAAAACAUGCAUUGCACAAGCUCAUGUUGUUGACAUAACAGAAAGAGAGUGGCAAGAGAGAUGGUUUUCUGUAAAGACAGAGGGUUUUGACUUAAACCCAUAUAUGCUGGAAUGACUCAUGGUGUGUGGCACUCGUUCAGUUGACAGGAAAGCAGGAACAAAUUUUUGAUUUUGACAAUUCAGUACCCCACAUCUCCAUUGCAAAAAUACUACUCAGCCGUUAGAAAUGCAGGUGAAUUUGCAAAGGCCUGCAGCGAGGCUGUUGAUUGGGAACCAUUGGCAGAUAGCAUACAGUUCUCAGAGCAGUUAUCAGCACACAGAAGAGAUUAUGCUGCUUUUUCAUGGCUGAGAGAGAGAGAGUUGUAAUACAGAAAGCUGUUUCUGCAGAUUUCAACUCACAAAACAGUUUGUCAGUACACAUGACGUGUGCUAGUAUUGAUUUACCGCAAAAAGUUCUUGACAAUGUACCUGAUUACCUGUGGGCUAAAGACAAGUAUGAUGUGGGCUUGAUUAAAGGGUGUGAACCAGUAACUAUCACCCCAAAGAGUGAUUAUAGACCAUGUAAACCCCAAUAUCCUCUGAAAAGGGAGGCGCUUGAGGGGAUAAGGCCAGUAUUUUAGGCAUUAUUGGGAUAAUUAUUCCCUGCCCACACUCACCUGUGAGAACACCCAUUUUUCCUGUACAAAAGGUCAGGGAUGCAGGUCAGCCCACAGAGUGGAGGUUUGUUCAAGAUCUCCAAGCAGGAAAUGCUGUGGUACAAGCAAGAGCACCUCACGUGCCAAACCCUUACACAAUUUCUCACAGAUACCAGCUGAUGGCCAGUGGUUUUCAAGUGCAUUCUUCAGAGUUCUCUGUCCAUUCUGAUAGCCAGUUUUGGUUUGAUUUUACAUUUAAGGGGUAUAGCGAGAGCCGCACUAUUUACAAACUCUGCAUUGCAUUGUUCAUUACAGACACUUGUGUUGGAUGAUGAUGUUGCUUUAUUGCAGUACGUGGAUGACCUCUUGGUGGCGGCACCGACUCAGCAGUCGUGCACAGACAACACCAUACGGUUGCUCACUCAUCUAGCUGAGGAGGGCCACAAGGUCAACCCCAAAAAGGAACAGUGCUCUGUCCAGAAAGUAACCUUUCUAGGACAUGAAAUUACACCAAUGGGUAAGUCUCUCUCUCCAAAGAGAAUAGAGGCAAUAGCUAAUAUAACAAAACCCAUCACAAAGAAACAAGUAAUGUCAUUUUUGGGCAUGACAUCAUAUUGCAGGACUUUUAUUGCUAAUUAUUCUGAGAUGCAACAACCAUUGCAUGACAUGAUUUAUGAGAAACCUUUGGCACCAUCAGAGAAGGUAGAAUGGACAGAGAAGGCUGAAAGGGCAUUUGUGGAACUAAAACAGACAUUACAGCAGGCACCCACUUUAGGGUUGCCAGACCCAAAAAAGCGUUUUAUUCAAACUGUGGAUGAAAGAAAUGGCUGUAUGACCUCUGUUUUGUUACAAGAGCAUGGUGACAAGUUGAGACCAGUUGCGUAUUUUUCAGGACGCCUUGAUGCGGUGGCCAGGGGCCUACCAGGAUGUCUCAGGGCAGUGGCAGCUGCAGAGAAAGCUGUGCAAGCGAGCAGUGAGUUUGUGGGGUAUGCACAGCUACGACUGUUGGUCUCACAUACUGCUCCAACAGCGCACAUCUCACUUGUCUGCAGCAAGGUGGCUGCGUUAUUCCUGUGCAUUGUUACAAAUGUCUAAUGUCACAGUUGAAAGAUGUACAGUUCUUAACCCGGCGACAUUGUUACCUACACCUGAUGAAGGUACACCACAUUGCUGUUUGUCUGCCCUACGGGAAGUAUGUACACCAAGACCAGACCUUACUGACACACCCAUACCUAAUUGCACCCUGACAUAUUAUGUGGAUGGGUCCUCUUCCAGAGACGACAGAGGUAUAAACAGGGUGGGGUGGGCGGUCGUGUCUGACUUUGAAGUAGUGAAAUCCGGAUGCUUACCACCUCAUAAUUCUGCAAAGGUGGCUGAAUUGCAUGCACUAACACAAGCUUGUCAACUUGCUACUAAUCAAUCUAUAACCAUUUACAUUGACUGCUGAUUUUACUGACAGUUUCUCUCCUAUAACAAAUUUUACUCCUUUCUCAAAUAGCUGUGUGCAAAUGCAAAGCACACACCAAGGAACAGGACGUGAUCUCCAGAGGAAAUGCACGCACGGAUGCGGAAGCAUCUCUCAUGACUACUAACAAAAACGUUUCUCUUACACAGAUUUCCCAGGAAAAGGAAGCCGAAACACCACAGGAGUUACUAAUAAGCAUUCAAACAUUUUCUCUUCCAACAGAAAUAGCUCUAUGGAAAUCGUGUGGAGCAACCAAAACUCCUGAAGGGAUUUGGAUGGGUCCAAAUCAAAAACCUUGCUUACCUAAACAUUUUUAUUCCCAUUUUGCUAGGUUGACACAUGGGGACCACGGUGACAUGCGAUACUCUUCAAAAUGAAAAUGACAUGUUGCAAUAUUGUAUUUCUAUGUCCUCUGUAUUUCAAAAUAUCUCCAAAGCAGGUUAAAUCAGCCCUACCCCGUCCAGUAGAAGAACCAUUACACAACAUCAAACCAGGGGAUUACGUGGUGGUAAAGAACCUCAGGAGGAAAUCCUGGAAAGCCAGACGGUGGGAGGGGCCAUUUCAGGUUCUGCUGACGACUCACACUGCCGUGAAAGUCGCGGAGCGUGCCACCUGGGUGCACGUUGCCCAUUGCCGGAGGGUUGGUCCUGGACUGCAAGGUGCAAACCAAAGGGAGGACGGCUAGUCGACUGCUACGGACCACUUUUUCGUAUUGGUGGGAACCACAGAUACCUGUAUACUGCAAGUUUAUACGAAGAACGACACGAGAGAACUGCAACAGCUCACAAGGUAUUGGAGGACGACUCCAGUAUUCUGGGUUUGGUUUGGACACACGCACACGACAUCUUUAAUGAUAGCUUGGCACGACUACACCGUGUGGUCCUACCAAACCCGAACCUACAAAGGAAAUUAAUCAACAAGGGCUCACGACCCCAACUCUAACUGUGCUCAGGGCUCACGACCCCAACUCUAACUGUGCUCAAUUUCUUCAAGAAAACAAACUAUUUUUCUUCUUUCAAAAAUGAGAUUCAUGAUCAUACUAUGUGUGUGUGCAUUUUUACUUUUGCAACUGCACACAACUAUAUGUACACUAUGGUUAAGGGUAAUAACCAGAGCUACGUAACGAUGACAGUAAAUGGAGUUAUGAAUAAAUCAUAAAAAGGGAGGAGUGUAGUGGAGGAUUUAUUAUGCUUUCUUUUCAUAUUAUUAUACUUUAUUUUUCAUCCUAUUUUUCAUUUUUUAAUUACAAAGUUCAUUGAGUGUGUUUCACAUGAGAAUCAUGUUUUUCUGCUAACGUACAGAAUUAUGCUCUUUCUGUCUUUUCAGCAAGUACAAAUGUCCAAGGACUUAAACAUCAUGUGCAGUCCUAUAUGAUAAGAUAACGAAUGAAUCAUUUAGCUAGAAACCCAGUAAACAGUAGAGUUUACUGAGAACAAGACAUAUGUUUUAUGAUGUCAUUAGAUUUAUGUUUAACUGUUUGUUUCUUAAUCAGUGACGAAUUGAAGGUUGUUUCUCUAAAUGACGUGGUAACUGAUGAUUAUACGUGUUUCAGCAUCUUGCUAUAAAUAUGUGUUCAGCCUUGUAAUCGGGGCUCUUAGGUUUUUAAACUUCUUGCACCGCGAGGGUGAGAGCCUAUUCUGCAGAAUAUAAAUAUAUAUAUAUUAAAUUCAGACAAAGAAAAUUCUGUUAACAGUG